rnacentral:rRNA from 1 species
GAUGAACGCUAGCUACAGGCUUAACACAUGCAAGUCGAGGGACCGGCGCACGGGUGCGUAACACGUAUCCAACCUUCCCUUUACUCGGGGAUAGCCUUUCGAAAGAAAGAUUAAUACCCGAUAUAAAGGAUGGUGAUGCGUUGCAUUAGGGUGUUGGUGAGGUAACGGCACACCAAGCAUUCGAUGGAUAGGGGUUCUGGGAGGAAGGUCCCCCACGUUGGAACUGCGACCCGGUCCAAACUGCUAGGGGAGGCAGAAGUGAUGUAGAUUGGUCAAGGGGCGCUAGCCGGAACCAGCCAAGUGGCGUGAAGGAUGAAGGCUUAUUGGUCGUAAACUGCUUUUAUAUAAGAAUAGGUAUUAUAUGAAUAAGGAUCGGCUAACUCCGUGCCAGCAGCCGCGGUAAUUC